rnacentral:rRNA from 1 species
AGUGAACGCUGGCGGUAGGCCUAACACAUGCAAGUCGAACGGCAGCACAGUAAGAGCUUGCUCUUACGGGUGGCGAGUGGCGGACGGGUGAGGAAUACAUCGGAACCUACUUUUUCGUGGGGGAUAACGUAGGGAAACUUACGCUAAUACCGCAUACGACCUACGGGUGAAAGCAGGGGAUCUUCGGACUUUGCGCGAUUGAAUGAGCCGAUGUCGGAUUAGCUAGUUGGCGGGGUAAAGGCCCACCAAGGCGACGAUCCGUAGCUGGUGUGAGAGGAUGAUCAGCCACACUGGAACUGAGACACGGUCCAGGCUACUACGGGAGGCAGCAGUGGGGAAUAUUGGACAAUGGGCGGAAGCCUGAUCCAGCCAUACCGCGUGGGUGAAGAAGGCCUUCGGGUUGUAAAGCCGUUUUGUUGGGAAAGAAAAGCAGCAGGUUAAGACCCCGCUGUUCUGACGGUACCCAAAGAAUAAGCACCGGCUAACUUCGUG